rnacentral:tRNA from 1 species
GUGGGUGUAGCUCAGUUGGUUAGAGCGCCAGGUUGUGGUCCUGGAUGUCGCGGGUUCGACUCCCGUCACUCACCCCA